rnacentral:SRP_RNA from 2 species
UGCAGGACUUCGCAUGGCGUAUAUCUCGUGAACCCCCCCAGGGCAGGAAUGCAGCAAGGGUCAGCGGGCUCUGACGGGUGUGCGGAGUCCCCUUUUG